UAUUAGAUUGUAACAUUUUUUGGUUUUAACAAUACUCGAUUCUGUUUGCUUACUGCCUUUAGAGAGAAAUGUCAACGACAGGAAGAUGAAGUUAUGAAGCUGACAAAUUCAAAAAUAUUUUGAAACUUUUUUCCAUCUAUUGAAAAACGAAUAAAAAUUCUUUAGUAUAAAUCAUAAAAACGAAAUUUUGAAGCUAAAAGCUAAAUUCCACUAACAUGGCUACUCAAUUCAAAAGCCCGACUAACUCGGAGUUGAGCGUCAAGACACACUUAACUGUGAAGAAUUUCGCUAGUGAAAAAACGCAUAAAGAAAAACCAAAAAGAUUUUCAAAACAAAAACGAGCACCGCGUCAAGUACAUAUAAAAGAAUCAUCAUUACAUAGCUUUAAAAGUGCAGUAUUUGAUGAGGAGAAUAUAUUAUCGACACAUAGCUCAAUCAGGUCGCAUAGUCUGAACGAGAUCACCUCUCUAGCUACACCCUAUACAAAAUCAGUUGAUAUGUAUUCAAAGUUAAUGGAAAUAAACUCUAGAAGAUCUUCCGUGGCAAGUUUCGUUUUAGAAACUUCAACAGCGUCGAAUGUCUCUUCAUAUAGUACUUCAUCGCCGGCCUUCCUAUUGAAGAGACAGCAAUUCUGUAAAGGUGAAUAUACAAAUGCAAAAUGUGGUCGAUACACACGUAUACAUCCGCCAUUAUGUAGUAUUCCAGCAGAGAGUUUAGUAUGCGUCUCGGGUUCUAUAGAGAGUUUGACGGAGUUUGCAGAAUCACCGAAUAUAACGGUGUAUCCAUGAUGGUUUGGAUAAAGCCGCAAAGCAAAUUGCAAUAAUAUUUUGUUGGCUGUUCUAAUAAGCUUAAUCAGAAAGUAUUUAAUACCAGUACCUGUAUAUAUGUACUCGAUAACUGUACUCUAUAUAUUUGUACUUGAAGAAGUUCUAGCUCGUUACUUUUACUACGCGAUUUUUAACGAUACCAGUCAACUCAAAAAUUAAUAAUAUAAAAGUUAAAAUCAAACAAAACAGUCCGCGCUGAAUUAUUCUAUGAUUCUACGUUUUAUGGAUUCUAUAACCAACUGUAAAGCUUAACUCUUGUUCUUCAGUGAAACAUGUUUCUCGUUCGUUCUGCUAAUGCGUUGUAUUCAAGAUCAUGUCAGCUGUUUGUUUAGCAACAUGGAUGUUCAUUUGCACCAGUUUUUUUCAAGGAGCACGCCUGCUUCGAUAUGCUUUACCACGAUUUCACAGAACCCUAGUUAGAUACGAGCGUCUAUUUUUUCUUAUAUCACUCCCGGAGAGGUAUGUACAUCAUGCCCUCAGCAAUUUGAAAUGAGUUUUGGAUUGAUUUCGAUUAUGAUAUUUGCCGUCCAGACAUACCGAGGUAGAUACUGUAAACACAUAUCUUUGCAAUUUCCCAAAAUAAAAACCUAUCAAGUAAAAUACUCUGCAAAA